rfam:Bifidobacterium indicum LMG 11587 = DSM 20214, complete genome.
CGAGACCUCUCGAUGGCCGCGGCCAUUCCUCUCGGGAAUGGCUGAGGAACUUCCGGGCUCCAUAGAGCACGAUGGCGGAUAACGUCCGCCCAGGGCGACCUGAGAGAUAGCGCAACAGAGAACAGACCGCCUGCCCCUAGGGCAGGUAAGGGUGAAACGGCGGUGUAAGAGACCACCGGGCCGCUGGUAACAGCGGUCGCACGGCAAGCCUCAUCGGGAGCAAGGCCAAGCAGAAGGCAUUUAGGGGCUGCUCGUCCCGCCUUCGGGUAGGCCGCUAGAGCCUGGCGGUAACGUCAGGUCGAGAUGGAUGGCCAUCCUCCUGUCGGACUCCGACGGAUGACAGAACCCGGGGUAUAUGAGAGGUCUCAUCCC